AGCAGCCGCGGUAAUUCCAGCUCCAAUAGCGUAUAUUAAAGUUGUUGCAGUUAAAAAGCUCGUAGUUGAAUUUCGGGAUCAGUUGAUCGGUCGUGCCUCGGUACGUACUGGUCAAAUUGAUUCCUACCUUCUGACGAACCACGAUGUCAUUAAUUUGGUGUCGUGGGAAAUCAGGACUGUUACUUUGAAAAAUUAGAGUGUUUAAAGCAGGCUCGCGCUUGAAUACAUUAGCAUGGAAUAAUGAAAUAGGACGUUUGAUUCUAUUUUGUUGGUUUCUAGGAUCGACGUAAUGAUUAAUAGGGAUAGUUGGGGGCAUUAGUAUUCAAUUGUCAGAGGUGAAAUUCUUGGAUUUAUUGAAGACUAACUACUGCGAAAGCAUUUGCCAAGGAUGUUUUCAUUAAUCAAGAACGAAAGUUAGGGGAUCGAAGACGAUCAGAUACCGUCGUAGUCUUAACCAUAAACUAUGCCGACUAGGGAUCGGAUGAUGUUAAUUUUUAAUGACUCAUUCGGCGCCUUAACC
rnacentral:rRNA from 1 species